rnacentral:rRNA from 1 species
CGCCUAAAGGGGAAAUGCUGGCCUGGGUAUUUGGGGGAUAACGUCCCGGAAGGGGGAAAGGAAUACCGCAUACGUCCUGAGGGAGAAAGUGGGGGAUCUUCGGACCUCACGCUAUCAGAUGAGCCUAGGUCGGAUUAGCUAGUUGGUGGGGUAAAGGCCUACCAAGGCGACGAUCCGUAACUGGUCUGAGAGGAUGAUCAGUCACACUGGAACUGAGACACGGUCCAGACUCCUACGGGAGGCAGCAGUGGGGAAUAUUGGACAAUGGGCGAAAGCCUGAUCCAGCCAUGCCGCGUGUGUGAAGAAGGUCUUCGGAUUGUAAAGCACUUUAAGUUGGGAGGAAGGGCAGUAAGUUAAUACCUUGCUGUUUUGACGUUACCAACAGAAUAAGCACCGGCUAACUUCGUGCCAGCAGCCGCGGUAAUACGAAGGGUGCAAGCGUUAAUCGGAAUUACUGGGCGUAAAGCGCGCGUAGGUGGUUCAGCAAGUUGGAUGUGAAAUCCCCGGGCUCAACCUGGGAACUGCAUCCAAAACUACUGAGCUAGAGUACGGUAGAGGGUGGUGGAAUUUCCUGUGUAGCGGUGAAAUGCGUAGAUAUAGGAAGGAACACCAGUGGCGAAGGCGACCACCUGGACUGAUACUGACACUGAGGGUGCGAAAGCGUGGGGAGCAAACAGGAUUAGAUACCCUGGUAGUCCACGCCGUAAACGAUGUCACUAGCCGUUGGGAUCCUUGAGAUCUUAGUGGCGCACUAACGCAAUAAGUCGACCGCCUGGGGAGUACGGCCGCAAGGUUAAAAACUCAAAUGAAUUGACGGGGCCCGCACAAGCGGUGGAGCAUGUGGUUUAAUUCUAACACCGAAGAACCUUACCUGGCCUGACAUGCUGAAGAACUUUCAAGAGAGGGAGUGGUGCCUUCGGGAACUCAGACCCAGUCCUGCAGGCUUGUCGUCACCUCCUGUUCGUGAAAUGUUGGGUAAGUCCCGUAAACCAGACC